GACGAACGCUGGCGGCGUGCCUAAUACAUGCAAGUAGAACGCACAGUUUAUACCGUAGCUUGCUACACCAUAAACUGUGAGUUGCGAACGGGUGAGUAACGCGUAGGUAACCUGCCUGGUAGCGGGGGAUAACUAUUGGAAACGAUAGCUAAUACCGCAUAAUAUUGAUUACUGCAUGAUAAUUGAUUGAAAGAUGCUAUUGCAUCACUACCAGAUGGACCUGCGUUGUAUUAGCUAGUAGGUGAGGUAACGGCUCACCUAGGCGACGAUACAUAGCCGACCUGAGAGGGUGAUCGGCCACACUGGGACUGAGACACGGCCCAGACUCCUACGGGAGGCAGCAGUAGGGAAUCUUCGGCAAUGGACGAAAGUCUGACCGAGCAACGCCGCGUGAGUGAAGAAGGUUUUCGGAUCGUAAAGCUCUGUUGUAAGAGAAGAACGGGUGUGAGAGUGGAAAGUUCACACUGUGACGGUAUCUUACCAGAAAGGGACGGCUAACUACGUG
rnacentral:rRNA from 1 species